CCUAUAAGACUGGGAUAACUUCGGGAAACCGGAGCUAAUGCCGGAUAACAUUUGGAACCGCAUGGUUCUAAAGUAAAAGAUGGUUUUGCUAUCACUUAUAGAUGGACCCGCGCCGUAUUAGCUAGUUGGUAAGGUAACGGCUUACCAAGGCAACGAUACGUAGCCGACCUGAGAGGGUGAUCGGCCACACUGGAACUGAGACACGGUCCAGACUCCUACGGGAGGCAGCAGUAGGGAAUCUUCCGCAAUGGACGAAAGUCUGACGGAGCAACGCCGCGUGAGUGAUGAAGGUUUUCGGAUCGUAAAACUCUGUUAUUAGGGAAGAACAAACGUGUAAGUAACUGUGCACAUCUUGACGGUACCUAAUCAGAAAGCCACGGCUAACUACGUGCCAGCAGCCGCGGUAAUACGUAGGUGGCAAGCGUUAUCCGGAAUUAUUGGGCGUAAAGCGCGCGUAGGCGGUUUCUUAAGUCUGAUGUGAAAGCCCACGGCUCAACCGUGGAGGGUCAUUGGAAACUGGGAAACUUGAGUACAGAAGAGGAAAGUGGAAUUCCAUGUGUAGCGGUGAAAUGCGCAGAGAUAUGGAGGAACACCAGUGGCGAAGGCGACUUUCUGGUCUGUAACUGACGCUGAUGUGCGAAAGCGUGGGGAUCAAACAGGAUUAGAUACCCUGGUAGUCCACGCCGUAAACAAUGAGUGCUAAGUGUUAGGGGGUUUCCGCCCCUUAGUGCUGCAGCUAACGCAUUAAGCACUCCGCCUGGGGAGUACGACCGCAAGGUUGAAACUCAAA
rnacentral:rRNA from 1 species